rnacentral:rRNA from 1 species
UACGUAGGGCGCAAGCGUUAUCCGGAAUUAUUGGGCGUAAAGAGCUCGUAGGCGGUUUGUCGCGUCUGCCGUGAAAGUCCGGGGCUCAACUCCGGAUCUGCGGUGGGUACGGGCAGACUAGAGUGAUGUAGGGGAGACUGGAAUUCCUGGUGUAGCGGUGAAAUGCGCAGAUAUCAGGAGGAACACCAAUGGCGAAGGCAGCUCUCUGGGACGGUACUGACGCUGAGGCGCGAAAGCGUGGGGAGCAAACAGG